AGUCCUAUUAAGAACAUUCUCAUCUUGCAAAUGAUGAAACUAAAGCACAGAGAGGUUAAGACACCCUCCUAAACUGACAUAUCUCUAAACCAGGGAAGUAGAGGUCCGAGCCCUCCUGGCUGGCUUUAGAUCAGCUUGCUCACACUGUCCUCUUGUCUCUGUAUCUCAAACAGCUGCAUAUUGAAUGGAUGACCAGAGUUCCAGAAUGGUCCUGCCAAGUAUAACCUUCUGAGAUUUUGGAUACACUAUACCUGCACUACCCAGUCAGGACCCACUCGCUAUAUGUGACACUGAACUCCUGAUGUGCAGCCACUGUGAUGGAAAACUGAGUUUUUAAAAUUUUACUCAUGUAAAUUUAAUUAGCCAUAUAUGGCUGAUGACUAUUAUAUUGACCAACGUAGCUUCAGGAGGUAAAGGAUAUAUUUUAAUUAUCUUUCUAAAUGUCUUAGCAUGUAGCCUAUGUCCAAAACUCCAAAGCAGGAGUUUUUCUAAGUGAGUCUUAGUAUCCUCCUGCACAGGGAAAGCACCCAACUGCCAGCUUGCAGUGACUAUGCAGUAAACUCAGGCUUUCUGAUCACCUAAAGAAUGCACAGUUCUGGUUUUCUCCUGCACAGGGGACUUGGGAAGAUUGAACACUCAGGAGAGACUGGAAAACCAGAGCUGGCAGCUAAGGCAUGGGAAGGGAGCUCUCUGCAUCAACACCUAUUCUGUGCUAGAGUUGGUAUUGGCUAUGAUCUUAUCCUAAAAACCACUGGUGCCCUAUCUAAUAGUAGUCCCUUCUACCCCGAGGAAAACUCAGACGUUAAAAACCUUUUUUAACAUGGUACUUGUAUCACCUUGCCCACUUGGAAAGAAAGAAUAUGUUGUCAGCUGGUUCGUCCUGGCCCUAGAUUGCAGUGUUAGUUGGAAACUGUUUCAUCUUAUUUCCAUGGUGGCCUCUGUCCAGCGGCAAAGAAAAGCAUUUAAGAAUGACCACCUGUUAGAAGAAGAGAUGCAUGCAUAAUUGUUGCUCCAUAGUACCUCGAAGCCUGUGGUUAGAGUCAUUACCUGAGUUAAAGACCUGUUUUUAUUUUUACUUCUUGUUUUGUGCCGAGGAUCAAACCAGGAGCCUUCACACAGAGCUACCUCCUCAGCUCUUUUUCUUUUAAUUUAAGACAGCAUCUUGCUAAGUCACUAAGUUUCCCAGCAUGGGCUCAAACUUGAGAUCCUCCUGCCUCAACUCCCACCCCUUUUGAGCACUGUACCACCAUGCCCAGCUCCAGCCCUCUACUCUGGCUUCUUUGUGCUCUCCUUGUCUAGAGCUGAGCAAUCAAUACAGGAGCCACACACAGCUAUUGAUCUCAUGUAAGUGGCUCACUAAGAUAUACUACAGCUAGAAAAUACACUGACAUUCAAAGAUUUAAUGUAAAAAACCAUAAAAUAUCUCCUUAAUAAUUUCCACAUUGAUUUUGUUAAAAUGAUUAUAUUUCGGGUUUACUGGCUUAAAUAAAUUUUAUUAAAACUUUUUGUUGUCAUUGUUGUUCCUUUUGCCUUUCGAGCAUGGCCAACAGAAUGUCUGGAAUUACCUACGUGGCUGGCAUCGCACUUUUGGACAGACUGGCCUGAGAAAGGACUGCAUGCUUGAGUCUGCAGAAAAGAGCCAGUGACUGGUUAAAGCCCCUUCGGCCUGAGAAGACAUCCUCCCCACUGACGUCCACACAGAAACAAGAAUGAAGCCAGCAAGGAGUGAACAUGGCUUUGACUUCAGCCUCCCUCUGGCCCCUCUGGGCUCUGGCAAAAGUGACACAAUUUUUUCCAGCACUGGAGUAUCUCUGCCUUAAGCAGCACUAUCAUUUCUUUCCUGAGUAAGAUGCUUUGGCACUCUGCAGAGGAUGCCAAGUGAUGAAACUGUGCCACAGAAAAAUGACCCACUGUCUCCAAGACUGUUCCCAAAGGCGAUGGGCAGACCAAGCACAGCAGACAGUCUGCUGAAGAGCCAACUACCCUGAACAGCUUGGAAAUAACUUUUCCAGCUGAUGAUCUUUACAAAUAAACAGCAACAGCCUUGGCAUCUUCACACCAAAUUCCACUGACGACCCUAACUUCUGAAGACCUCACGGCCACAUCUGUGGAUACCUUAGCAAUGGUCUCAGAAAAGACCUGGGACCCUGCAAAACACCUUCACUUCCAUUUUCUCCUUGAUCCUCACCAUAGCCAGCUUUCAUCCUCAGCUCAGAGACCAGAGAACUCAAGCAGAGCCAUUGGCAACGUGUCUCAGGUCACACAACUCAUCCCAUUGUCACUGGACCCUGAAGGCUCAAAGCUGCAGCUCAGUGAGUAGACACGUUAUGACCUUUACCCAUCCCUGCCUCCCACACCCUCUCCUCUGACCCCAAGCUGCACCCCCACAUACCUCCACUCCCACUAUCUGGAGAGUCAUCAGUCACCCUCAAUUGGGAUAAACGAAGGCAGCAAAAAGAUAUUUGUAUGGAGAUUCAAACACAGGAAAUGGAAAGACCACCACCACCACCACCAAAAGUAAACACAAUGAGGGCAGAUUUCCAGAGAGCAAGAUCACAACUGAGGACUCGUAUCUUAGCUCACCAAGAGGCCCUGGCUGGCUUGCCCCAGAGCACAAGGGUGUUCCUUUUGGUUUGGUCCCUAUGUGGUGUGCUUGGGCCCUAUGAUCCACUAGAUG